AUUGAACGCUGGCGGCAGGCCUAACACAUGCAAGUCGAGCGAGAGGCGGACAGGUGAGUAAUGUAUGGGGACUGCCCGUUAGCGGGGGAUAACUACUGGAAAAGGUAGCUAAUACCGCAUACUAUCGGAUAACCCAUAUGGGCGGAGCUCGUAGGUGCGGUAAUGGCUCACCUAGGCGACGAUCCCUAGCUGGGCUGCAAGGAUGAUCAGCCACACUGGGACUGAGACACGGCCCAGACUCCUACGGAGGCAGCAGUGGGGAAUAUUGCACAAUGGGCGCAAGCCUGAGACAGCCAUGCCGCGUGUAUGAAGAAGGCCCUAGGGUUGUAAAGUACUUUCAGUCGGGAGGCGUUACCGACAGAAGAAGCACCGGCUAACUCCGUGCCAGCAGCCGCGGUAAUAC
rnacentral:rRNA from 1 species